rnacentral:rRNA from 1 species
AUUGAACGCUGGCGGAAUGCUUUACACAUGCAAGUCGAACGGCAGCACGGACUUCGGUCUGGUGGCGAGUGGCGAACGGGUGAGUAAUGUAUCGGAACGUGCCCAGUCGUGGGGGAUAACGUAGUGAAAAUUACGCUAAUACCGCAUACGAUCUAUGGAUGAAAGCGGGGGAUCGCAAGACCUCGCGCGAUUGGAGCGGCCGGUAUCAGAUUAGGUAGUUGGUGGGGUAAAGGCCCACCAAGCCAACGAUCUGUAGCUGGUCUGUGAGGACGACCAGCCACACUGGAACUGAGACACAGUCCAGACUCCUACGGGAGGCAGCAGUGGGGAAUUUUGGACAAUGGGCGAAAGCCUGAUCCAGCCAUUCCGCGUGCAGGAUGAAGGCCCUCGGGUUGUAAACUGCUUUUGUACAGAACGAAAAGGUUUCUACUAAUACUAGGAGCUCAUGACGGUACUGUAAGAAUAAGCACCGGCUAACUACGUGCCAGCCGCCGCAGUAA